rnacentral:ncRNA from 1 species
AUAAAUGCGAUGAUGAGGAGAGUAAACGUUAACGAACUGUCAGUGAGUUCCGGUAAGUGUGAAGGAAUCAGCUAGUUAACGGCGAAAGUAACCUUUGAGCAGCGAAUGCGACGUUUGGAAGUGUUCGCGGUGAGUCCGCCUUACUGGACUAGCGUAUCGUUACGAUGGUAGCCGUACGCGAAAAGGUGACGUUUGUGAGAACGUGACAAAUUAAGGUGGUACAGCGCACAAAGCGCCCUUGUU